rnacentral:rRNA from 1 species
GACGAACGCUGGCGGCGUGCUUAACACAUGCAAGUCGAACGGUAAGGCCCUGCUUCUGUGGGGUGCUCGAGUGGCGAACGGGUGAGUAACACGUGAGUAACCUGCUCUUGACUUUGGGAUAACUUCAGGAAACUGGGGCUAAUACCGGAUAGGAGCUCCUGCUGCAUGGUGGGGGUUGGAAAGUUUCGGCGGUUGGGGAUGGUCUCGCGGCUUAUCAGCUCGUUGGUGGGGUAGUGGCAUACCAAGGCUUUGACGGGUAGACGGCCUGAGAGGGCGACCGGCCACAUCGGGACUGAGGUACGGCCCAGACACGUACGGGAGGCAAUAGUUGGGAAUCUGGCACAAUAGUGGGGAGCCUGAUGCUGCGACCCCGCGUUCGGGAUAUCGGCCUUCGGGUUGUAGACCGCGUUCGCCUGAAACGGUGCGCGAGUGACGGUAAAGGGUAAAGAAGCACCGGCUAACUACGUG